UCUUUUAAACUAAAAAUAGGAAAGUAUGCUUUUAGUUUACUUUUUAUGUACUUCUCAGAAAUGGGCUUCAUGUACUUCUCAGAAAUAUACUUAAAAUGACAUUUAAGUAUACUUGACUUAUACUUACAAAAAGUCUCAAUAUACUUGAACUAUACUUAAGUAUACUUAAUAAAAUAAACUUGAAGUAUACUACUUUUUAGUAAGGGGGGUUCACAGCAGUGCCACAGAACAACUAUUUUUUGGUUCUUCAUACCAUUUUUUCUUAGUGUGAAGAACACUUCACUGAUUUAAAGAUCCUUUUGCUCCUUUUGUGCGAUGGAAAUGUUCUCCACUUUUCUGAAUAAAGGUUCCAAAAGCUGGUCUUCACAUUUUGGUUCCCUAAAGAACCUUUCAGUGAAGAGUUCCUACAAGAACCAUUUUUAUUGGUGAAAACAACAUUUUAUUAAUGUUUUGUGCAAUGGAAACGUUAAAAAAUAAAGGUUCCACAAGUGGCUUUUGCACUGAUGCCAUAGAAGAACUAUUUUUGGUUCUCCAAAGAACCUUUCAGUGAAUAGUUCUUAAAAGAAGCAUUUUUUCUUCGUGUAACAAACUCUAAUAUUCUGAAGGAGUUUUUGGUGCAUGGAACCAUCAGUGCCUCGAGGCCUGACAACAUCACCAGAGCGUCUUCUGCAGUAUCAGAGGCAGAAACCCAGCUGAAAGUCUGCCGACGCACAGGCGGCUCUACGUGAACCUGAACGCUCUGAGAUAUCAAAGCAAUCUCGAAGUGAUUAAUAAUGAUUGAUUCUGUGAGAUUUCAGAUACUCCUCCCGUAUCGCUGAUCGUCUGGGAGUCGGAGCGCUCGAUUCCUGGAGUCCAAGACCACGGGAAAUGAAAGGAGACACAGUCGCUCCUGAGCCAAAGCAAAUAAACAGUGUGAGAAAGUUUGAGUAAGAGGCACACGCUCCCCCGCCCGUCCCUGCAUCCGUCUGCGAUCCGCACGAGGCCGGGAACAGCAACAGGAAUGGGAUGCUGUUAUUGGGUCACGUGCAGUGAGAGAGAGGACUGAAUUCCUCAAAAGUAGAAGGCACCAGAGCUUCGGUCCGCUCCAGAGAGAGAGAGGAGGAGGGUGCGGCUCGGGUUUCUCCACCCACCGUGUGCCGUUGUUCCUGCAUCAGUC
ensembl:lncRNA